rnacentral:rRNA from 1 species
CACGUAGGGCGCAAGCGUUGUCCGGAAUUAUUGGGCGUAAAGAGCUCGUAGGCGGUCUGUUGCGUCUGCUGUGAAAACUCGGGGCUUAACCCCGAGCCUGCAGUGGAUACGGGCAGACUAGAGGUAGGUAGGGGAGAAUGGAAUUCCCGGUGUAGCGGUGAAAUGCGCAGAUAUCGGGAGGAACACCGGUGGCGAAGGCGGUUCUCUGGGCCUUACCUGACGCUGAGGAGCGAAAGCAUGGGGAGCGAACAGG